rnacentral:siRNA from 1 species
UGUAAUAGGGUGUGGUUCGU